CCUACGGGAGGCUGCAGUAGGGAAUCUUCCACAAUGGGUGCAAACCUGAUGGAGCAAUGCCGCGUGAGUGAAGAAGGUCUUCGGAUCGUAAAGCUCUGUUGUUAGAGAAGAACACGUGCUAGGUAACUACUAGCGCCUUGACGGUAUCUAACCAGAAAGUCACGGCUAACUACGUGCCAGCAGCCGCGGUAAUACGUAGGUGACAAGCGUUGUCCGGAUUUAUUGGGCGUAAAGGGAGCGCAGGCGGUCUGUUUAGUCUAAUGUGAAAGCCCACGGCUUAACCGUGGAACGGCAUUGGAAACUGACAGACUUGAAUGUAGAAGAGGAAAAUGGAAUUCCAAGUGUAGCGGUGGAAUGCGUAGAUAUUUGGAGGAACACCAGUGGCGAAGGCGAUUUUCUGGUCUAACAUUGACGCUGAGGCUCGAAAGCGUGGGGAGCGAACAGGAUUAGAUACCCGAGUAGUC
rnacentral:rRNA from 1 species